UCUUCAUUUCUUCGGUCCGGAGGUUUCGGCCAGAGUCUCUCCAACGCGUGACGGACCAUUCUUGGGACUCCCCUCUCCAGGUAAAAGCUUUCUCUUCUCUUGAGAGCCUCCGUUGCAAUAGUGUGAGCAUAGAUGUUUUUUGCUUUUGGGAUAAAAGAAAACUCAAUCUCUUGGUAGCUAUUUUUCCUGUUUUGAAUAUCUCUGAUUAUUACUCCAAUAACCAAUCUAUCUAUAAUAGAACUUUGACACUUCUUGAUAACCGUUUUUGAGUCGCCCAUAACUUCGAUUUUGUUGAUUCCCAAGCUAAUACCUAGUUUUAUUGCUUAUAAUCCUGCAUAUGCCUCUGCUGUAAAUGGAUUUUCAAUGUUGGAGUGAUGAACUGCCUGUGAUGCAAGGAUUUCCCCUUCCCAGUUCCAUACUAUUAGCCCCGAUGCCGAUCUGAACGUCUGACGGUCAAAAGCUGCGUCAAAAUGAACCGUUGCCCUUCCCCUUUUGAACACCUGUUGAAAACUGUCAAAAAAGUGGAGAGUAAGUUUUCCUUAUUUUGUUGCUUCAAGUUCUGAAAUAUAGCUUCUAAUUUUCCUUGCAAUUUCAGUUCCUGACAUUUGUCUUCUUUCAUAUACGAGUUGAUUUCUACUGAACUAGAUAAACCAGAGACCACAACAGAAAAGUCAAAGCUGCUCUUCAUUUCCUUGACCAAAGACUCCAUAGGGCACUGUUGAAAGAUAUGGCAAUUGUUUUUUUCUUCACAAUCGCAUCUGGGACACUGAGUAUUUGCCAUUACCCGCUUUAUUUUGAGGGAUAGAGUUCCAUGAAAUCCUCCAUAUUAUCAUUUUGAUCUUCGACGGGAUAUGUAAUUUCCAUAGCUUUCUAUAGAAAUUUAUAGUUUCGGUAUGUAAACUUAAAUCAUUAGGAGCCAAGGUAGACUCAUGUAAUAGUUUAUAGGCGCUCCUAACUGAAAACUCCCCGGUCGGCUGCCCUCUCCAAACUUGAAAAUCCUCAUGUUCCAUCUCCGCCAGUGGGAUCUUUAAAAUUUUCUCCGCUACAUCCGGUAGGAAGAUCAUCUCGAAUGGAAAUUUUAUCACCUCUUUCCACCCUCCAGCAAAAACCUUUUUCAAGUAGACCUUUCGCAGUCCAAACACUUUUCCAGGUAAGCAAAGGAUUUCUUCUUCUUCAUCAUCAAUGGAUAGACCGGCAAAUUCUGAUUCCAUGCUCGUAAUACGUGAAAAAAAUAAAGAAAAUUAUUCAAAACACUGGAGAUGUCAUCCGUCGGGCCAAAAACAACUUUUGAAAACCUAGAGUUGCCAGAGAGAUAGACAGAGACGUGAUAGGU